rnacentral:rRNA from 1 species
GUCAAGCGGUAGAGAGGUGCUUGCAUCUCUUGAGAGCGGCGGACGGGUGAGUAAUGCCUAGGAAUCUGCCUAGUGGUGGGGGAUAACGUUCGGAAACGGACGCUAAUACCGCAUACGUCCUACGGGAGAAAGCGGGGGGAUCUUCGGACCUCGCGCCAUUAGAUGAGCCUAGGUCGGAUUAGCUAGUUGGUGAGGUAAUGGCUCACCAAGGCGACGAUCCGUAACUGGUCUGAGAGGAUGAUCAGUCACACUGGAACUGAGACACGGUCCAGACUCCUACGGGAGGCAGCAGUGGGGAAUAUUGGACAAUGGGCGAAAGCCUGAUCCAGCCAUGCCGCGUGUGUGAAGAAGGUCUUCGGAUUGUAAAGCACUUUAAGUUGGGAGGAAGGGUAGUAACCUAAUACGUUGCUACUUUGACGUUACCGACAGAAUAAGCACCGGCUAACUUCGUG